CUGCCACUCUGUCCAAAACAAGAGGUUUACAUAUAGUCAAAAACAUCUCUGAAGGUAUAGAAUCAUAGGAAAUCCCAUGUUUGAAGGAUCCCACAAGGAUCAUCUUACUGUAGAAACAGGCAUCACUGUGUCUCCUUCCUGGAAGUGUUUACCAAAUGCUUGGAUGUGCAGACCCAUACACAGUCCCUAGAAAAUCCAGAGCAACU